AGUGGCGGACGGGUGAGUAACGCGUGAGAAUCAGCCUUGGGGUCGGGGACAACCACUGGAAACGGUGGCUAAUACCGGAUAAGCCGAUUGGUGAAAGAUUUAUUGCCCGAAGAGGAGCUCGCGUCUGAUUAGCUAGUUGGUGAGGUAAGAGCUCACCAAGGCAGCGAUCAGUAGCUGGUCUGAGAGGACGAUCAGCCACACUGGGACUGAGACACGGCCCAGACUCCUACGGGAGGCAGCAGUGGGGAAUUUUCCGCAAUGGGCGAAAGCCUGACGGAGCAAGACCGCGUGAGGGAGGAAGGCUCUUGGGUUGUAAACCUCUUUUCUCAGGGAAGAAGCUCUGACGGUACCUGAGGAAUCAGCCUCGGCUAACUCCGUGCCAGCAGCCGCGGUAAUACGGAGGAGGCAAGCGUUAUCCGGAAUUAUUGGGCGUAAAGCGUCCGCAGGUGGCGAUUCAAGUCUGCUGUCAAAGCACGGGGCUUAACUCCGUAAAGGCAGUGGAAACUGAAUAGCUAGAGUGCCGUAGGGGUAGAGGGAAUUCCCGGUGUAGCGGUGAAAUGCGUAGAGAUCGGGAAGAACAUCGGUGGCGAAAGCGCUCUACUGGACGGCAACUGACACUCAGGGACGAAAGCUAGGGGAGCGAAUGGGAUUAGAUACCCC
rnacentral:rRNA from 1 species